GACGGGGCCCGCACAAGCGGCGGAGCAUGCGGAUUAAUUCGAUGCAACGCGAAGAACCUUACCAAGGCUUGACAUACACCGGUAACGCCCAGAGAUGGGUGCCCCUUGUGGUCGGUGUACAGGUGGUGCAUGGUUGUCGUCAGCUCGUGUCGUGAGAUGUUGGGUUAAGUCCCGCAACGAGCGCAACCCUCGUCCUAUGUUGCCAGCGGGUCAUGCCGGGGACUCAUGGGAGACUGCCGGGGUCAACUCGGAGGAAGGUGGGGAUGACGUCAAAUCAUCAUGCCCCUUAUGUCUUGGGCUUCACGCAUGCUACAAUGGCCGGUACAAAGGGCUGCAAGACCGUGAGGUUGAGCGAAUCCCAGAAAGCCGGUCUCAGUUCGGAUUGGAGUCUGCAACUCGACUCCAUGAAGUUGGAAUCGCUAGUAAUCGCGGAUCAGCAUGCCGCGGUGAAUACGUUCCCGGGCCUU
rnacentral:rRNA from 1 species